GAGGAGAACCAGCUGGCCUUCACUAUUCACAGCCUUUAGAGGAUAGCAGAGAAGCAAUUUCUUCUGUAUGCACUUCACUUGUGCCCAUUCCCAUCCGAAUAAGCUUUCCUCUGCUUCUUUCUGUCUCCCUUUCUUUUGGCCUUUUGCAGGCUUAGAAACACUGUUAAAAAAAUAUUUUCUUUUAUGCUUACAAUCCCAUUUGAAAACAAGAAUGGACGAGCCCAAGAACUAGAAGAUCCAAAAACUCGUUUAAGUAUCAGCAAUCUUUACCGUUCUUGGGUUGUUGUUCAAGUUUGUGAUCUCUUUUUCUGUCCUUUUUGUUUGAACCCACAAGCACCACAAGGCAGGCUGGCCAGGGGACUAACAUAUGUGAUAUCUGUCUCUUUAAUGUGUUUUUUGAACUCACAAACAAACAAACAAUGAAGCUUGUGCUUCUUCUUCUCCUUCUUCUCUAUAUACCCUCUUGGAACUUUCGCUUCUUUCUUGUAUAUGCUGUACCUUUGCAUGACCCUUUUGUUUCCUCUCCAGCUUCCUCUCCUUCUUCUACAGUUUCUGCUUCUAUGGCUGCCUUCUCUCCAGGAAUCCAAUCCCAACUGGGAACGGAGGAGGAUCACCACAAGAUGAAGUUAGACAAGAAAAUAGCCAUAUUACUUACUGUUGCUUGUGGCAUUCUGGCUAUAAUCGUCCUUGUCUCGUUGUUUGGUUGUUGCAUUUAUUAUUGGAAGUUCUGUCAUAGAAAGGAAAAUGCCCAGCUUUCAGAUGUUGAGAAAGGGGUAUCAGUAACGCCAUUCUUGGGUAAAUUUAGUUCAUUGAGGAUGGUUAGUAACAGGGGAUCAGUUUCAUUGAUUGACUAUAAGCUACUAGAGAAGAGCACUAAAAAUUUUGGAGAUGACAAUUUAUUAGGCAAGGGUGGAUUUGGACAUGUUUAUAAAGCAUUAUUGGAAGAUAACAAGCAAGUUGCAGUGAAGAAACUAGACUGUGCAGCUGAAAAUGCCAGGAGAGAAUUUGAGAAUGAGGUGGAUUUGUUAAGCAAAAUUCAUCAUCCAAAUAUCAUUUCUCUUGUGGGUUAUAGUGUUCAUGAGGACACGGGGUUUAUUGUCUACGAAUUGAUGCAAAAUAGGUCCCUUGAAGAUCUAUUGCAUGGACCUCAUGGAUCUUCAUUAAGUUGGUAUAUCCGGUUGAAGAUUGCUCUCGACACAGCAAGGUGAGGUUGUUUUGUAUAUCAACACCUUUGGAUUGCUAUUUUUGUUUCUUAUAGUAUUUCUUUAUGUCCAAUUGUGUAUCAGAGGAUUAGAAUAUCUGCAUGAAUUCUGCAAACCAGCAGUGAUCCAUAGAGAUCUGAAAUCUUCUAAUAUACUUUUGGACUCCAACUUCAAUGCCAAGCUAUCGGAU
rnacentral:misc_RNA from 1 species